GUGUUUGCUUCGGCAACACACGUGCUAAAAUUGGAACGAUACAGAGAAGAUUAGCAUGGCCCCAUGCGCAAGGAUGACACGCAAAUUCAUGAAGCAUUCCAUAUUUUU